rnacentral:rRNA from 1 species
UACGUAGGGUGCGAGCGUUGUCCGGAAUUAUUGGGCGUAAAGAGCACGUAGGCGGUCUGUCGCGUCGGUCGUGAAAACUUGGGGCUUAACCCUGAGCUUGCGGUCGAUACGGGCAUGACUGGAGUUCGGCAGGGGAGACUGGAAUUCCUGGUGUAGCGGUGAAAUGCGCAGAUAUCAGGAGGAACACCGGUGGCGAAGGCGGGUCUCUGGGCCGAUACUGACGCUGAGGAGCGAAAGCGUGGGGAGCGAACAGG